rnacentral:rRNA from 1 species
AACGAACGCUGGCGGCGUGCCUAACACAUGCAAGUCGAGGGAGAAAGGGGCUUCGGCUCCCGAGUAAACCGGCGCACGGGUGAGUAACACGUAGGUAACGUACCCUGGAGUCUGGGAUAACCAGUCGAAAGACUGGCUAAUACCAGAUACGACUCUGGAAGCUCUGGCUUCUAGAGUGAAAGAUGGCCUCUGUUUACAAGCUAUCACUC